rnacentral:misc_RNA from 1 species
CCGAGUUUACAACUCCCAAACCCCUGUGAACAUACCACUUGUUGCCUCGGCGGAUCAGCCCGCUCCCGGUAAAACGGGACGGCCUCGCCAGAGGACCCCUAAACUCUGUUUCUAUAUGUAACUUCUGAGUAAAACCAUAAAUAAAUCA